AUUGAACGCUGGCGGAAUGCUUUACACAUGCAAGUCGAGCGGCAGCGCGGGGCAACCUGGCGGCGAGCGGCGAACGGGUGAGUAACAUAUCGGAACGUACCCAGUCGUGGGGGAUAACUAUCCGAAAGGAUAGCUAAUACCGCAUACGACCUGAGGGUGAAAGCGGGGGACCGAAAGGCCUCGCGCGAUUGGAGCGGCCGAUAUCGGAUUAGCUAGUUGGUGAGGUAAAGGCUCACCAAGGCGACGAUCCGUAGCUGGUCUGAGAGGACGACCAGCCACACUGGAACUGAGACACGGUCCAGACUCCUACGGGAGGCAGCAGUGGGGAAUUUUGGACAAUGGGGGCGAACCCUGAUCCAGCCAUUCCGCGUGAGUGAAGAAGGC
rnacentral:rRNA from 1 species